UACAGAGGGGGCAAGCGUUGUUCGGAAUUACUGGGCGUAAAGGGCGCGUAGGCGGCCUUCUAAGUCGAACGUGAAAUCCCCGGGCUCAACCCGGGAACUGCGUCCAAUACUGGAAGGCUUGAAUCCGGAGAGGGAUGUGGAAUUCCAGGUGUAGCGGUGAAAUGCGUAGAUAUCUGGAGGAACACCGGUGGCGAAGGCGACAUCCUGGACCGGUAUUGACGCUGAGGCGCGAAAGCCAGGGGAGCAAACGGG
rnacentral:rRNA from 1 species